rnacentral:misc_RNA from 1 species
ACGAAUGGUCUUGGUACCUUCAAAACCCCUCAAACCAGUGGACAUGAAAAAUGUGCUUCGGCGCUCUGGCGCCGCUUUUAUGCUGUAAUUCUGUCUUUUUUGUCUGAAUGUAAAGCAAAGAAUCA